rnacentral:rRNA from 1 species
GGCGGACGGAUGAGUAACACGUAAGAAUUUGCCUCUAGGAGGGGGACAACAACUAGAAAUGGUUGCUAAUACCCCAUAUGCUUUCGAGUGAAACGGAUUUUUCCGCCUAGAGAGAAGCUUGCGGCUGAUUAGCUUGUUGGUGAGGUAAUGGCUCACCAAGGCGACGAUCAGUAUCUGGUUUGAGAGGACGAUCAGACACACUGGAACUGAGACACGGUCCAG